rnacentral:rRNA from 1 species
UACAGAGGUCUCAAGCGUUGUUCGGAUUCAUUGGGCGUAAAGGGUGUGUAGGUGGCGCCGUAAGUCGGGUGUGAAAUUUCGGAGCUUAACUCCGAAACUGCAUUCAAUACUGCGGUGCUUGAGGACUGGAGAGGAGACUGGAAUUCAUGGUGUAGCAGUGAAAUGCGUAGAGAUCAUGAGGAAGACCAGUGGCGAAGGCGGGUCUCUGGACAGUUCCUGACACUGAGACACGAAGGCCAGGGGAGCGAAACGGG